AUUGAACGCUGGCGGCAGGCUUAACACAUGCAAGUCGAGCGGAUGAAGGGUGCUUUCUUCUGGAUCUAGCGGCGGACGGGUGUGUAAUGCCUAGGAAUCUGCCUGGUUGUGGGGUAUAAUGUCUGCAAACGGGUGCUAAUACUGCAUACGUCCUGAGGGAGCUAGUGGGGGAUCUUCGGACCUUAUGCUAUCAGAUGAGUCUAGGUCGGAUUGGCUAGUUGGUGGGGUAAAGGCCUGCCUAGGCGACGAUCCGUAACUGGACUGAGAGGAUGAUCAGUCACACUGGAGCUGAGACGCGGUCCAGACUCCUACGGGAGGCAGCAGAGGGGAAUAUUAGACAAUGGGCGAAAGCCUGAUACAGCCAUGCCACGUGUGAGGAGAAAGUCUUCGGAUUGUAAAGAACUUUAAGUGGGGAGGAAGGGCAGUAAGUUAAUACCUUGCUGGUUUGACGUUACCAACAGAAUAAGCACCGGCUAACUUCGUG
rnacentral:rRNA from 1 species